rnacentral:rRNA from 1 species
AUUGAACGCUGGCGGCAGGCCUAACACAUGCAAGUCGAACGAGUGGCGGAAGGGUGAGUAAUGUCUGGGAAACUGCAUGAUGGAGGGGGAUAAAGACUAGAAACGGUAGCUAAUACAGCAUACCAUCAGCUGGGACCAGAUGGGAUUAGCUUGUUGGUGGGGUAACGGCUCACCAAGGCGACGAUCCCUAGCUGGUCUGAGAGGAUGACCAGCCACACUUGAACUUAGACCCGGUCCAGACUCCUACGGGAGGCAGCAGUGGUGAAUAUUGCACAAUGGUCGCAAUCCUGAUGCAGCCAUGCCGCGUGUAUGAAGAAGGCCUUCGGGUUGUAAAGUACUUUCAGCGGGGAUGCGUUACCCGCAGAAGAAGCACCGGCUAACUCCGUGCCAGCAGCCGCGGUAAUUC